ACGUACACGAGGAAAGGUGCUAGCAUUCAUGAUUAGCAUGUGCAGCCGCCAUCGUGUGCUGAGCUCAUUGUUGUUGAUGCUGCAUUAAUGAGGCCGGUUUAUAUCAGACGGUCUGUUCACGACACACAAUCAUGAACACGCAUUAAACAGAGCCUGGGUGUGACACAUGACAGCACGCACCCCACACUCGCCCUGUUUUUAGACUGCUCAUGAGUCAGCACCUGCCUUCACAGGUGCAAAAUUUCAUUGGUGCCAUUUUUUGUAUCAUAAAUUAGUUUAUAUUGAAUAAAGUCAAAGUGUAAAAUAAUUGAGGGGGUUUUAAACACACCUGAUGGUGAUUUUAAAUCGUCGAUGUCAGGUCCAGUCUGUGUCAAAGCUCUGAAGAAAAUAAACUCUGAAAGUAGAGUAAUGAAAAGUUUGUUAUAGUCACAGAAAACUGCAGCUUUGACUCAGAAAUAGAAACCGUCAUAGAGAGAGAGAGAGAGAGAGGGAGGGAGAGAAAUGAGAGUACAACACUGUGGCCUGGUUUGUGGUUCCAGAGGGAUAGAGACACUUUCCUGUUCCCUGCAAAAUGAGAUAGGAUGAGCUCUUUUAACACAGACACAAAUGCAUACACACUAACACACUCAAACACACACACACACACACACCUUGUUCAUUCCUUCUAACUGUGCCUGGUCUACAUUUGUGCAGCUUUGUUGUCGCGGCAGCAGGAAACUGAUUGCCCCAGAUUUAAGCGAGCCUCCUUCACAUAUGCAGCAGUUAGCUGUCAACUCUCAAAACGACUCCGAUCAUCAAUUUUUUCUUUUUUUGUUUGGUUUUCUGUGUCACUUUUCAUCGCAAGUGUGAGUGUGUGUGUUUGUAACAGACAGUCUGACCUCUGACCCCGACCCGCUGGGAGGCUUUCAUUCCCAUAGGCUGGGGGCUGUGGUUGUCUCGCUCUCUCUCUCCCUCUCACACACACACACACUGCCGGCUCUAUUGGUUAAGCGGUCCCUCGGCCACCCAUUCAGGGCUCAGUCACGGCCACUUAGAGCGCAGCAGACACAGGGAUUCAGAUGAGCUGUGAUCCAAUGACAUGUAUUUAUAAUGAGGGGGCUGUGGGGACGUCUUUGUUUGAUGGACACAAUGUCUGCACAAGAGUGUGUUUGAGUGUGUUAUAAGUUUGUGUGUUUGGUGGAGAGGGGGAAUUUCUGUGUCUUUUUACACUUUCUCUACUCAUUCAACUCUCACACACACAUUCAGACUUUUUCUUUCUUGCCUUCAAAAUUUGCAGAAAAGACUGACUUUAUUAUUUAGCCUGAAAAAAAUCAAUCAAGAACUUGCUGGGACAGCUUCUAGUGAAAAUUAAGUCUCUUGUUAAAGAAAGUGAGUGAAAUAAGAGUGAAGUUUACAAUCACUUUUGCUGCCCCAAUGGCAGAUAUUUUCACACAUUACAAGCGUCUCAGGUCUUUUUAUUUUUAGUUUCCAACGUCUUGAAAAAAGACUUUUAUCUGGUGGCCUAUAUUAGUGCUCUUGAAAUAUUUGAGAAACACACUUGGCUUAGUGUGAGGCUGUGGAGUAUGAUCUAUUGAUGAUCACAUUUUUCUCUUGUUUUAUGAAGGGCCUGUGUCCACUAACGGUAUCUUUUGCAUAGGCAGCACCUAUUUUCUGAUAAAUAAACAAACAAAUAAUAGAGCUCAGUAUUUAAGUACAGAACAUCCUUGGUUCCCUGUCAGCUGUUUUUCUGUUGCUGCACUUAGAGUUGAAAUAGUCCAACUUUUUAGUACUAACAUACUCUUCAGAGUAAAUCUUUCAUUGAUCAAAAUAGUCAAGAAGAGGCGGGACUUCUGAUAUCAACUUACUCAAUAACAAUAGCCACAAAGCAGAGGCAGAAGUACUGAACAUCGUUUGUUAUCCAACAGCAGUGAGUAAGACGUGAGUGAGAAAGUGGGGUCUUGUGGGUGCUGCCAGUGCAGAGACUGCUGUCGGUGGACAUAGGCCCUAAAAAAAGCUUUGACUAGACUGUUCUGAUGUUCAGUUCAGGCCAGGAUUUAUAAGAUUUGCAGCAAUAGUUAUCUUAUAAAUUAAAUUUUUGAUACCAAUAUAUUUUGAGGAAAUCAAAAUUAAAAAGUUUACACCAUCAGCUAUAUAAUCACUUUUUUAAAACAGUUUAUGGUGACAGAAACAGUAAUGAAGUAUUUCGUGAAUAAAAAGUGUAGAUGAUUUUUGAACUAUGAUUAUUUUGAAGCUCACACCAGUCUGAGUCUUGUUAGCCAGCCAAAUCAAGGACAGUAAUAACUUUUUUGAUAAGGAGGAAACUGUCAUUAUUUUUUUGUCUUUUACAAACUAAGUAAUUUUAGAAAUGUGUGGCAGUAUCAUUAAAACAGUGAAAACACAAAUCAUUGUGAGUCCACCCAAUACAAGUACGUCUAUGUGUGCUGAGGGAGUGUGGUGUGUAGUCAGAGCUGCAGUCUGAUCUCUGCCUACAUUAGUCAGUGGUUGGGACAGCGUGGGCAGAAGAAGAGCCCUGGAGGGUCCUACAAGCUGAGGAAGGCCCCUCAUAAUGACCAGUGUCUGAAACACUGCCGCUACCCAGGGACCAGUGUCUGAUUCUGAUGUACUCAAUCACAACCAUAAUCACAACCCCAGCCUCCUCACAGCCCACACUCAACUCCAUUUUUGCUGCCUAUCAGUCUGAACUGUUGGAGUAUAAUCAGAAAUUUACAAAGUGUCAUUCCACCUUUUCCAGCCUGACGUAGAUUGGGACUUUACCAAAGGUCUUACACAUUAUUUAAAAGUGCAUCUGCUGUUGUUGUUUUUUUUUAUAUUAUCUAUGAUGAUUAAAAGUCUCGACAAAUGAGGAUGAAGUCCCUUAUCUUGGCUGGUUGACUUCUUAUCUUGUUCAGUCAUGACGGUGCAAAACCAGACAGUGGAAGUGUGUCGGCUGUCUGUGUGUGUCUGCUCUCUCGGGUGUAAUCAUGGGUUCCCCGGCUGACUGCGUGUCCCAUAGUGAUCUCAGACUUCAGAGGUCAGAGGUCAUUUAGUGUGGGCUCCGAUAUAGACAUUAUGUAGUCAUGACGAGGGACUACCACUUGAACCAACACUGUCCCAUUUUUUUCUGUGUUAUGUUGAAACUGCUGCGUCAGCCUGUGGUGUGACAGAUGGACAGAAUUGUUCACUGUUAGAGCUCAGGUGUACAUUUAUCAGACGUCUGUGGUUCUUAAUUUAAAAAUACAGAAAGAUUUUUGUUGUGCAUUUUCUUAGCUGCACUCGCUAAUUUCCUCCAUUGUCUUGUCUCUCUGCAGGUUCAACAAUGUGAGGAAAAUUCCUGGUGUAAAAAACAUCGAACUCAAACUUGACCGGACUGGAUUACAUGUUUUAUUCUGGAAAAUGAAGGACUCUUACAUACACGAAUAUAUUUUUGUUAAAAAAAGGGAAUACUUUGCUUUGAGCUCCUGUAAACCCGUGAAGAUGAACCUCUAAAUCUGGACUGAAUCAAAGAAGAAGACAAGGAGAAUUUUGUCAUGUAACAACAUUUUUUACACCAGCUGUACCUUCUUUUUCUGACAGUGAAAAUAUUUGUGUGUGAAUAAUCAAUAAAUGGGAAUGGAAGAUAAGCAACAUUAAAUGUUUUAUUUUUCAACUGUAUCAAUAAUUAUCAAUGGUGAAUAGUAAGAGUCAGUUUACUCGAGUACUGUAACACAUUUUUUGAGUAUUUGUAUUUCUGUAUCUGGCUGAUAUUUGAGUCCUCUACAUUUUCUACGAUUCUUCUCAUUUCUUGCUAUUUUUGCCCUGAAGUCAGCUAAUAAACUUCCUUUUCUUUUCUGAAAUCCAAAUGUUAAGACGUGCUUGUUGAGUUCUUGUUGUUGCUGUAUCUUUCAAUCGUACAUCUGUAUUGUUAAAGAGACAAACGCAAACACAGAUCAGAUCAGGCAGUUCAUUUUAAUGUGGUGUUGAUUGCUACAGCAGUAAUUGUUUGCUCUGUUUACCUCUUAAGAACUUCAUUAUGAUUGACAAACAUUAGCUUUUUCAAUGCUUUCUUAAUCCAUGUCAUAAAAAACGGCCUGGUGAGCAUUUAAAGUUGUAUUUUAACAAAAUAAGCUGUGGGUUUAAAAAUUGUGUUAGUCUGUAUUAGUAAAAAAUGUAAACAUAGCAUGGGAAUUAAUACAGACCAUCACAUACUUGAGCAUGGGUACCAUUUUCAUUCUGUAAAACAUCGGAAUACGUACUUAUGAAAUCACAGACUUUUUCCAUUAUAGCACUUGGAGGACUUAAAUCAAAUAUAUUCGAGGUGAUGAUUACACAUUGAUCUUCUGAUCAGGAUAAUAGCAUCAUAUAAUAGGUUGUCACAGAGUUUUGAAAAGAAGGUUUUGUUUGACAUAUUUCAGGUGCUAACACCCCUGUAAAGAAGUAAAAAAAAAACAAGUGUGUCUCAGCAGCUACACAGUUAUCAAGUUCAAAAGGCCUUGAAGCUGCUGAAAUGGCUGUUUGAUAAAACUUCACCCAGUAAAGCCUGGCUGACUGUUACACUGGUGAUCAGGCGUUUUUUUUUCCCGCCAUUUCUCCAUGUAAUUUUGGACUUGAGUAUAUGAGUUAAAAAUGUAAAAGAUGUUUUUUAAAUCAAGAAAACAUUACAGAAUAUGCACCCAUAUAUUCUUGAUUGUACUCAUGCAUGAUGAAAAUAAAAUGUUUUGGGAUUUUUUUAUCAAGUACAUUAAAUACUGAAGUAUCUUUAAAAGACUCCAGUAACAAAUGACUGAGCAUCUUUCACUUUUGUUGGAGAGAUAUUUGACGAGGUUUAUCUAUUAUUUGACUCACAUGAUGAAGUGGUGAACAUUGUCCACCAAUGAAAAUGUAAUUGGAUAUAUAAUAAUUUGUUACCUUUUCUCUCAGGUACUUACAAUCAAGCUAAAGUGGUUUUUUCACCAAGAGUUUAAAAUCAUGACGAAAUUCAUCACCUCUUCUUUUAAAGUUUGAGUUUUCACUAAUGCUCCUCUUGUCAAGAAUGAGUGCACUGAAAAGUCUUUGACACACAACCAGUAACUAACGGAUAGAUCAGCAUUGCUUUGGUUUAUUUAUAUAAAUUUGUAUGUUUUCUUAUUCACAUGGUGAAAAGUCUGUGUUUUUUUUACAAUUAUUUAUACGGUCAAUAAAAAGAGGACUGACAGAC
rnacentral:lncRNA from 1 species